GAUGAAGAACGUAGCGAAAUGCGAUAAGUAAUGUGAAUUGCAGAAUUCAGUGAAUCAUCGAAUCUUUGAACGCACCUUGCGCCCUUUGGCCAUUCCGAAGGGCAUGCCUGUUUGAGUAUCAUGAACACCUCAACUCUUCAUGGUUUUCCAUGAUGAGCUUGGACUUUGGGGGUCUUGCUGGCCUGUGGGUCGGCUCCUCUCAAAUGAAUCAGCUUGCCGGUUUUUGGUGGGCAUCACAGGUGUGAUAACUAUCUACGCUUGUGGUUUUCCACCAGGGUAACCUUCAGCAGUGGAGGUUCACUGGAGCUUACAAAUGUCUCUCCUCUGUGAGGACAGCCCUUUGAAUGUUUGAUCUCAAAUCAGGUAGAACUACCCGCUGAACUUAAGCAUAUCAAUAAGCGGAGGA
rnacentral:misc_RNA from 1 species